CCAUUGAGACAACAGCAAUAGCUAGUUUGAAAAUAAUAUAUUUAAAUCUAUCAGACUAAUGUAAUCAACAACCAAUCAUUAAAAUAGAUUUAAGUAUCUCAUUUUUGGUAUAAGUAGUAUUACUGGCCUUGUGGGCCAGUGGAUAAGGGGGGUUGGUUACAAACAAGACAGUGGGGUAGAUGGAUGAAGGGUUCAGUCUCAGGUAGGGAUUAGUGAUAU